GUUUUGUGAUGAAGUAAGGCCCACUAAAUGAUGCCUUUCUUUCUACUUGGAUCAUUAAUUGAAUGGAUUCAGAAGUCUGAAACCUAACGAUUCUUUUUCCACCUCCCGUCACGUAACCCCUGCCCGUUAUGGCAAAGAAUCAACAUAACCCACUAAUCACACUUUCUCCUCUUCAUUGCAUGUUUAAUUUCUCGAUCCUGAGCUUUUUCCAGAGUAAAUAUAUAGAUACACCUUCUCAUUGGCCUUUCAAAUACCUCUAAACAUUUUUCCGAUCGAUUUUUAAUUUGCAAGCUUAGACAAACAUCACACUUUCUCCUCUUCAUUGCAUGUUUAAAUCGGCGAAUGUUUCAUUAUUCUAUUAUUUUAUUUUGGGACUCUUUCGUAUUUGUAAGAAAAAUUGGUUACUCUAACUUGAACUAAUAGGGGACGACCGCAAGCUCUAUGCGGCAGAGCCGUUGGUGCUCGACAUCUGCAACCUCGAACUCAGGGAGAAUGCUCUUCACGAGUUGUCUAAGGUACACUUCGUCCAUUAAAUCUGAGUGGAACCUUCACAUGCUGAAAACAGAAUCGAACUAUCACAAUUACACUUUAGCAGCUGAGAGUGGGAAGAAGGCGAUGCAAGAAGUUCUCUUGAACUGGAAAGAUUAUGUGAUUGCACAUCAAUGGAGGAAAACUUAAGAAUCCCUGGUCAGUAACAUAUCACCUCAAAAUCUUAAACAGAGGAGGCAUGGAUGCCAAUGAGAACCUAAGCUCUCAGUUCUGUAUCAUCCUCUCUUGAUGUUUUUGAUGUUGCUAACGCCAGCCUUCUUACUUCCAUUGAUCUGAUUUCGUUGAAAUUCAAUAAUGAUGCAUGUGCUAAGAUCAACUCCAUGAUCAUCCCAUGCUGUGAAGACUUGAUAGAGCCCAAGAGUGAUCACAGUCACAAGGUCGUAGAGAUCAAAAUCCGCGCAUGGAAAUAUCUUCUUGAUGAAAACUUGUGGAUGAACCUUCGUGUUCAACGCCCAUGAAAAGACCAAACGACAUACCAAGCAUUGAGUCCGUUGAGGAACUUAGAAUUCCAGCAUCUGAGACUUACUAAAGGGUUUCAACUUUCAAGAUGGGAAACUGUUGAAGCAGGCCAGUGGUGAUGCAAAGCAGCAGCACCAGCAGCAGCAACACCUUAUACGUGCUUCCUCUGUUUACGAAGCAGCUGUGUCGGACUCAAGAUCUACCCUCUCUCGGCUGUUAACUGAGACCAAAGGUUAUUAUUGUGUCAUACUCUACAGAGAGAGUAUUGUUGCAUACAUGUCAACGUAUUUUCUUCGUGGAGGUAGUUUGAGGAUUUUACAAAGUCUUUAUUUGGUUAGUUAAGAUUUGUAUUGUUUAUUAGUUGGAACCAAAGAAAUUAUUAUCUUAUGAAUCAGUAUAUUAUGAGUCGUGUUAGUUGAAAUUACAAGCAAAUCUAUUAAGCUUUAUGGUUUCAGAUAGGUCAUGAGCUUGAGAUUAGCGAUUCCUAAUGGUAUAGUUCCAGGGAGAUAAUGCCGGUAAGAAAGAUUCUGGGAUUAAUCGACCCUAUGUGGAGAGUGUGUUCGACAACUCGGUGAUCACCCUUAUAGCAACGCAAACGUCCCACAAGCAGUAAUUAAUACCUUUCAUUCAGUUACU